rnacentral:rRNA from 1 species
UACGGGGGGGGCAAGCGUUGUUCGGAAUUACUGGGCGUAAAGGGCUCGUAGGCGGCCAACUAAGUCAGACGUGAAAUCCCUCGGCUUAACCGGGGAACUGCGUCUGAUACUGGAUGGCUUGAGUUUGGGAGAGGGAUGCGGAAUUCCAGGUGUAGCGGUGAAAUGCGUAGAUGUCUGGAGGAACACCGGUGGCGAAGGCGGCAUCCUGGACCAACACUGACGCUGAGUGAGCGAAAGCCAGGGGAGCAAACGGG